rnacentral:rRNA from 1 species
GACGAACGCUGGCGGCGUGCCUAAUACAUGCAAGUCGAACGCAGUGGGGACGGGGGAGUUACCCGUGGGUAACCUCCCAUCAGAGGGGAUAACACUUUGAAACAGCUGCUAAACCGAUAUUGAUGGUUGGACCCGCGGUGGAUUAGCUAGUUGGUGAGGUAACGGCUCACCAAGGCCACGAUGCAUAGCCGGCCUGAGAGGGUGAUCGGCCAAACUGGGACUGAGACACGGCCCAGACUCCUACGGGAGGCAGCAGUGGGGAAUUUUCGGCAAUGGACGAAAGUCUGACCGAGCAACGCCGCGUGAGUGAAGAAGGUUUUCGGAUCGUAAAACUCUGUUGUUAGAGAAGCGGUAUCUAACCAGAAAGCCACGGCUAACUACGUGCCAGCAGCCGCGGUAAUUC